UGGGACCCGAUCUCAGCUAGAUCCCACCUAUCGAUAAUGGAGGAAUGAGAAAAUCGGAGAGCGCAAAUCGACUCUCUGAGAGCGAUGUUAGUACUUUAGUUUCUCAGAUAAGAGACUUGGAUAGGAAGAAUGCAGAACUGGAAGAACAAAACAAAAAUUUGGCUUCCAUGGUAGGACUCUUGUGUUUGUUGUGCUUGUUUGUUUC